CCGCUGAUGCAGCCACACAGCGUCACUGGAGCAACGCAUCACACCAGCAGUGGCGGAGGAAGCGUUCGCAUCUUAAAACCACACUGUAAAGUCCUCUGUUACAAGUAAAAGUCCUGCCUUGAAAAUAUUAAAUAAUAGAAGAUAAUGGAAGCACCACUCUGUAUGAAGCAAUACAGUUCAACAGAACCACAAACUACAUCCUCCCAAAUGAUCACUUCCACUCCAAACAUCCUGAACACAAUGACAGAUGUUCCUGCUGCACAGCUGCUACAGAUCUAAACACAUGGGAGUUUAAUCGUCAUGGUUUUCAAUCAGAAGAGCGGUGUGGUGUGCAGAUACAACAGCACUGUGUUUGGCUGAUGGACUCAAGGGAGCUUUCUACACCUGACAAUGAAUAAAACAUUCAGUGAGGAGUUUUAUUCUUUCUUAAUUUUAUUGUUUUUAGUGAGUUUUCAUAAGACACUGCCGUUCACCAUUGGGGUUACAGCAGAAAGCCGCUGGAUGGAAUAACGCAUGUGAUAGCUCAUUAGAAAGCUGCAACUGAGUGCUGCAAGACAUUUAACAGUAUUUACUUUUUCUGAGUUAUGGGACGUUAUGGGACAUUAUGUGCAAUAUCACGGACAUAAUUAUUAAACAUUUUGAGUUAGCCAUAUACACUUACCUGUACUUGACAUUUGAUAUUGUACAUACAUAUCUAUAUGCAACUCACCAAGAAGCAACUGUACCGUUAACCGUUAAUAUUUUUGGCCAUUACGUUUUUGGAUAUCUGUUUAUUGAUAUUUUAUAUUUGCAGUCUUUAUAUUUGCACUAUAUUCUCCUUUGUACUGUAACUGCUGCACAACUACAUCCCUCGGGAUGAAUAAAGCUCUCUCUCAUC